rnacentral:tRNA from 1 species
GUCCUUGUAGCUUAACACAAAGCAUGACACUGAAGAUGUCAAGACGGCCGCCACCCGCACCCAAGGACA